rnacentral:rRNA from 1 species
UACGUAGGGUGCGGGCGUUGUCCGGAAUUAUUGGGCGUAAAGGGCUCGUAGGCGGUUUGUCGCGUCGGGAGUGAAAUCGCCGUGCUUAACACGGCGCUUGCUUUCGAUACGGGCAGACUAGAGGUAUGCAGGGGAGAACGGAAUUCCUGGUGUAGCGGUGAAAAGCGCAGAUAUCAGGAGGAACACCGGUGGCGAAGGCGGUUCUCUGGGCAAUAACUGACGCUGAGGAGCGAAAGUGUGGGGAGCGAACAGG